rnacentral:rRNA from 1 species
UACGCAAGAGACUAGUGUUAUUCAUCUUAAAUAGGUUUAAAGGGUACCCAGGCAGUAAAAAUACCAGAAAUGGGAUUAUUUUACUAGAGUUUAAUAUAAGGAGGUCGUACUGAGAGGAAGAGAGAUAAAAUUCCGUCAUACCAACGGGGACUGAUAAAGGCGAAAGCAACCUUUUAUGUAAAAACUGACGCUGAAGGACGAAGGCACAUAGAACAAAAAAGG